UGUAUUUGUUGAAGGUAUGGUUUAUUUAUUCAUUUUUUAUAUAUAUAUAUAUUUAUGAAAUUGUAUAAUGAUAUUUUGUAGUUUUUGUUUGAAGGUUGGGUAUUCGGUUUUUGUUGGACUAAAGAGAUUGCUAGCAAGAUAUUGAAGGCAUUGGACACACACGUGGAUUAAUUUGACCGUCAGAUAUCCCAGCUGAUUGUGAACGAGCGCCUCCAAAUAAACGUGGACGCCAUAAAGGAUUGAACACGCGGGAAAAGAGGGAACAGUUGGGGCGUCCUCUCCCUCUCGAGUGGGAUGUGCG